ACGAAUGCAGCCCGAUGGGCUUCGAGCGGGUUCAGGGGCGGUGGUGCCGUCGGAGCGGACGGGCGGACCCGUAGGGGCCGUCCAGCCGAUUGCGGAUGGUCGAUUGCCCUGCACUCCCGGUCGAUAGCCGGCCAACGUCGGUCCGGUUUGGCUCACGCGGACGGUCGGGCAGGUGCCUCACUGCGCCCGUUUCGGCGUGCGCAGGGAGAGCUUACAGCCGAUUGUUCGGCAGUUGAACGUUACGGACCGAGGAGAAGUGUGACGCUUCACACCGGCAGAGCAGGCUCGCCGCUCAGGCGGCGGGCCGGGCCUCUUCUGAUCGUUGGGUAGGCGCUGCUGGGACUGCCCGUCAGUGCCAGCUGACGUCCCGUCCUCCCGGUCGGGAGGCUGGUCACGCCUUGCGCUGCAGUCGCUGGCUGAGGGAAGGCUGCAUCCGA
rnacentral:sRNA from 1 species